rnacentral:rRNA from 1 species
GACGAACGCUGGCGGCGUGCCUAAUACAUGCAAGUCGAGCGAGCGGAACUAACAGAUUUACCUCGGUAAUGACGUUAGGACAGCGAGCGGCGGAUGGCUGAGUAACACGUUGUGAACCUGCCCCAUAGUCUGGGAUACCACUUCUAAACACGUGCUAAUACUGGAUAAGAAAGCAGAUCGCAUGCUCAGCUUUUAAGAGGCGGCGUACGCUGUCGCUAUGGGAUGGCUCCGCGGUGCAUUAGCUAGUUGGUAAGGUAAAGGCUUACCAAGGCGAUGAUGCAUAGCCGGGUUGAGAGACUGAUCGGCCACAUUGGAACUGAGACACGGCCCAGACUCCUACGGGAGGCAGCAGUAGGGAAUAUUGCACAAUGGACGCAAGCCUGAUGGAGCAACGCCGCGUGAGUGAAGAAGGUUUUCGGAUCGUAAAGCUCUGUUGUUGGUGAAGAAGGACAGAGGUAGUAACUGGCCUUUAUUUGACGGUACUCAAACAGAAAGUCACGGCUAACUACGUG